CCUACGGGAGGCAGCAGUGGGGAAUAUUGGGCAAUGGGCGCAAGCCUGACCCAGCAACGCCGCGUGAAGGAAGAAGGCUUUCGGGUUGUAAACUUCUUUUAUCAGGGACGAAGCAAGUGACGGUACCUGAUGAAUAAGCCACGGCUAACUACGUGCCAGCAGCCGCGGUAAUACGUAGGUGGCAAGCGUUAUCCGGAUUUACUGGGUGUAAAGGGCGUGUAGGCGGGAGUGCAAGUCAGAUGUGAAAACUAUGGGCUCAACCCAUAGCCUGCAUUUGAAACUGUACUUCUUGAGUGCUGGAGAGGCAAUCGGAAUUCCGUGUGUAGCGGUGAAAUGCAUAGAUAUCACGCAGAACUCCGAUUGCGAAGGCAGCAUACCGGCGCUCAACUGACGCUGAGGCACGAAAGCGUGGGGAUCGAACAGGAUUAGAUACCCGGGUAGUC
rnacentral:rRNA from 1 species